rnacentral:rRNA from 1 species
GACGAACGCUGGCGGCGUGCUUAACACAUGCAAGUCGAACGGUGAAGCGCCUUCCUUUUUGGUGGGUGUGGAUGAGUGGCGAACGGGUGAGUAACACGUGAGUAACCUGCCCCCUUCUUCUGGAUAACCGCAUGAAAGUGUGGCUAAUACGGGAUAUUCUGGGUCUGUCGCAUGAUGGGUCUGGGAAAGAUAUUGUUUCGGUGGGGGAUGGGCUCGCGGCCUAUCAGCUUGUUGGUGGGGUGAUGGCCUACCAAGGCGGUGACGGGUAGCCGGCCUGAGAGGGUGGACGGUCACACUGGGACUGAGACACGGCCCAGACUCCUACGGGAGGCAGCAGUGGGGAAUAUUGCACAAUGGGCGCAAGCCUGAUGCAGCGACGCCGCGUGAGGGAUGGAGGCCUGCGGGUUGUGAACCUCUUUCGCCAGUGAAGCAGGCCUGCCUCGUUUGUGGGUGGGUUGACGGUAGCUGGAGAAUAAGCGCCGGCUAACUACGUG